AUUGAACGCUGGCGGCAUGCCUAACACAUGCAAGUCGAACGGCAGCACGGUAAAGAUUUCGGUCUUUAUGGGUGGCGAGUGGCGGACGGGUGAGUAAUGCGUAGGAAUCUAUCCUGGAGAGUGGGAUAACCCGAGGAAACUCGGGCUAAUACCGCAUGAUAUCGAGAGAUCAAAGGCAGGGGACCGAAAGGCCUUGCGCUCUGGGUGGAGCCUACGUCGAAUUAGCUAGUUGGUGGGGUAAGAGCCUACAAAGGCGACGCUUCGUAGCUGGUCUGAGAGGAUGACCAGCCACACUGGGACUGAGACACGGCCCAGACUCCUACGGGAGGCAGCAGUGGGGAAUCUUGGACAAUGGGGGAAACCCUGAUCCAGCAAUGCCGCGUGUGUGAAGAAGGCCUUCGGGUUGUAAAGCACUUUAGGUGGGGAAGAAAGGUAGCGAGUGAAUAAUUCGCUGCUGUGACGGUACCCACAGAAUAAGCACCGGCUAACUCUGUGCCAGCAGCCGCAGUAACAC
rnacentral:rRNA from 1 species